UGGAGGUUGGAUCACUUGCCAAUACCAGUAAUUUAAUCAGUCAUGCCUAUGCAGUGAAGUCUCCAUAAAACCCCAAAAGUCACAGGAAGAAGAUGGCUGUCUAUGAACCAGGAAGAGUGUUC
rnacentral:lncRNA from 1 species